UUUGAAGAGAGGUGAAAGUGGUUCAACAGUGGAGCUCAGUAAACGAAAGUGGAAGAACUUACACUAACAAAGAGAGAGAAAUGGAGAGAUUAGGGGAAUGUAUAGAAGAGUUAUUGAAGUUCACACUCCAAUCUCACAUUAACAAAUCCCUCAAUUUCGAACUGCGUCUCUCCCCUGAAUUCUGCUCCGGCCUCCUCAAUUCCGACCCCGCCGAUCCCAACCCGGGCCCCCCUGAUAUUUUGAAAGGAGUUCCCUCAUACCCUUUAUACAAGCAUCUCGCAUUAGCUUUGUACCAAUCCAUUGUUUCCGGCUCCAUUUGCAAUACACAACACAAUUUGGGGCUAAUGCACGACGAAAUUUCUACCAAACAGAAGGAAGAGUGGAAUAAGUUGGUUUCAAAUAAGGGACUUGAAUUGAUAAAUAUUAUGGAUAAUAUAGAAUUUGAACUUCAUGUUCAGGAGCCCUUCUUUUCAAUGUUAAGAGACGGCUUGAAGACCAUUGAAGGAAGGUGUGCAGGUGGCAAAUACAAUAAUAUUGAACCAGGUGCUAUGAUCCUCUUUAAUAAAUGUCUGGUGCUUGAAGUUCAGGAUGUUCAUCGUUAUGCUACAUUUUCUAAAAUGUUAGAGGCUGAAAGUCUUUUGCAAGUCCUUCCGGGAGUUAAAUCUACUGAAGAAGGCUUGCAAAUAUAUAGGAAAUUUUAUACAGAGGAGAAGGAAAGUUCUAAUGGCGUCCUUGCAAUCUGUGUUUCUAAUUUGGUGGAUCAGCCCUCUAUCUUGUUGGCCAGCAUACUCUCUGAACUAAGUUAUGAAGGUGUUCAAAGGCUUCUGGCUCUAGCACAUACUCCAGGAACAAUUUCUGGUGCACUCCCCCCACCAAAAUCGACACUUCUCUCGUCAUUCAUGUUGCCAUAUAAUCCAGAUGUCAGAGGCAGUACCUUGACUCAUGGAGCUAGGGCCUUGUCAAAGCACGCUGAUCGAAGUAGUAGUAAGUACUGGGGAAAUUUAAAUGGAAGUGAUUCAAAUAAAAAUAAUCUUGCAAUGGGCGUCAUUACUCAUUUGAUCACUAAUUGUUGCUGGUUGAAUGUGUAUAUUGUUCAAUUGCAUGGUGCUGUCUUUGAGAUAAGAGUUGGUGAAGGCUAUGGUGCACGAUGGUCCAAAGAUGGAACUAAGUUCGUUGGAUUUCUAGAACCAUACAUGGAUGAUGGUCACUUGAAGGGAUGGAAGCAUUGACUUGACUCUGGAGUUCUUUGCACUGGCUUCCAUGAUCUACAAGGGGAGGCAUAAUCCAGUAUCCUUUGUUUUUUUUUGAUGGGAUGGGAGAGAAACAGGAUUGGGGGGUGUUAGCCAGUGGAGGAAUGGAUGAUUCUUAAGCUGAGCUACAGGGAAAUGGUAGCUCAGUGGUGGCAAUAAGUGCAAUUAAACAGUGUCUCAGAUGAAUAUGCAUUUUGAGUUUUUGAUUCAUCAUUUUUGGUGUUGCAAAAUUUGACUGAAUAGUUGAAAGGGAAAGAUGAUUGAGAAGAGAAAGAACCGACAGACGAUAAACUUUGCAGCUGAUGCUGACAAAUUUGGAUUGGUGAUGGCAAUGAUGAUGACAGCCAAGUGUGUAUAUUUGUCGGCCACUUCAUGAUAAGAGCUUUCACAUGGAUUUAGUUGUGACAAGAUUGCAUCAAACUGCCCCUUGGGUGGAAAAGUGCUGACUAUAGUAAGCAAGUUGGUUUUUUGGCCCCAUACUUCAAAGCAAUAUCUGACAAAUCUGAAACAGGUUUGUCUUCCGGAAUCUGGAGUUAUCCAAUGGGUAAUCAAGUUGAGCACAGCAACAUGAUCUGCCAGUAAAACUUUCUGAUGGUAUGAUUUUGUGGUGGGUUUGGCUUUCUUUUCUUUUCUGCAAACGUGGCAGAAGCCAAUACCCUUUGCUUGCAUGCCACGUGUCCCACUUUAUUCAUGAAUUUUCCGUAAAUAACACCUGCAAGCAUGGAUAGCUGACACACCCACGAUGAACAAAAAGCUCAGAUUUCUGAUCCAAAGUUGGAUCCAUACAUUCAUAUGUAAACAGUAAGUUGAACCCAAGACCUUUUCAGAUACGUAACUCUGCUCUUUCACUUUACUUACCAGCAGAAUAUUUCUGCCUUGCGCCGUGUCAUUUAUUCGCUACCUUUUUAAUGCUUUCGGUGUACAUUGUUCUUUAAAAUCUUUUAUGAACCCACCAAAAAAGAAAGAUGAAUACAGGCAAUGGCCUUAUUCCCUGAUUGCAUUUUAAAAUUAUGUGUUAUAGUUUGUGGAGGAAUGUAACAUCAAGCCCUUAAAGUUGUA